ACAGUGGGAUUGAUCGUAACAUUAAAACGCCUCCACAGCUGAAAAGGCGAGCAUGUUUGGUGGGACGGGGAUCCAAACGAGCGAUCCGCAGAUUGUGAGUUGGGUUCCCUAACCACAUAGCCCAAAGUAUCUCAAGUUAAAUAAUUGAAAUUUAACGCAUGUUUUAAAAUAUGUUGACUGGUCAUCACUGUAUGUUUUUUUACUGAACAUUUAGUACUUCUACAGAAUUUUAUGUAAAGCAUGACGAUUUAUCUGGCAAAAUAUUGGAAUGAUGCUACUGUUGUGGAUAUGGUAAAAGACGAAAACUGCAUUAUGAAACUUGAUGAAAAUUCGAGCAUAUUAUUUCACUGUGAAUGUUUCCUGUACGAAGAGUACACAUCAUAAAUGGAGUUUAAACAUACAAGUAUUGGUAUAUUAUAAUAAUAUAGUUAUUACGAAUCUUUGCUUUCUUCCCAUUCACGAAACAUAGUCUCGAAAUAAACGAAUCCUUCCUUAUUCGUGGAUGCUUUGAAUUUUACUAGAAAAAUAUGUAUUUAAAUGUUUGUAAUUAAUAAAUAUAUAAAAACUCUUUUCUCUCCGCCAAUUCUGUGUAAUUACCUGAAUAUAUCUAUAUAAUAGUUUUCGUCCAUGGCUGCUAAUUUUUAAAUCAAUUGAACAUUAUUAAAUUAUAGUUAAAUUUUAAAAAAUUGACAAGUUUUACUUCCGUGUAGUAGUCCAUCGUUGGCUCAGCGGUAAUCUUUAGGGUUUAUAACGCUAAAAACGAGGAUUCGAUCCGUGCGGCAGACAGCGCAGUUAGCCUAUUGUGUAGCUUUGUGCAAAAACUCACUUCCAUGUAGGCCUAAAGCCAUUUUAAAAAUAAUAUUUGUGUGUGUGUGUUAUGUAGAUGUUGAUUUUUUCCACUUUCCGUGUUACUUGAAGUCUCCAUUAUGCGAUUCUUACCACAUACACGUUUAUUAUUGUACGUGAAGAUAAACUUUGACGUUUCUUGCAUUUCACGAGGCAAAGAUAACUUUAUUACAUUUAGCAGUUGUGAAACAUAUAUUUAUACUUCGAUUUUUUCUGUUUUGCUUUAUCAACUAGUCGUUAUACACUUAGCAGUGCCUUAAAAUGCGACAUCGAAAUUAAACAUAGUAAAUUUAGUACAAUAUUUCAUACACUAAUGUAAAGUACAAAAAAAUACGAAAGAGAGACCCAUCACUGAUGCAUAAGACCGAAAUAUGUUUCGCAACCAGUAAACCAGGCAGAAUUACAAACGUUAAUUGCAUCAUCUCUAGAAGCUACAGCUGUGUGUAUAACCUAGGUGUUUCAUUACUCAACAACUGACACUCCUUCCAGUUUGUCUUAAAGUCAACUAACUUACCAACGAUACUCUUGUAUUUUUAUACUAUGUUAUUCUUAUAACAAACAAAAGUAACAUCAAGUUAUAUGUCUGGAGUAAGGAAAUAAUUCUACAACUAAAAAUGACUUAAGCUCCAGAAAAACUUUACCUGUAUUUCAUCUUGUGUCCCUCAAUAGCUCAGCGGUAAGUUUGAGGGCCCACACCGCCAAAAAUCAGGUUUCGAUACUCGUGGUGGGAAUAGAUAGCCCAUUAGGUAGCUUUAGGCUUAAUAACAAACUGAGUUUGUUUACCCACGACUUAUGGGUUAAACGUUUUACCACUAUACGACUAGUACAAACCAGUACGUUGGUAAAAUAAACAUUUUUUCUGGAGUUCUAAGUCGUUUUUACUUGUAGACUAAUAUAAAAGUAUUAUAUCAAUAAUUUUUAAUAUGCCUUUCUGUGGAGUUAGAUAUGAACUACUUGUAUCACAACUAAUCUUUUUGUGGAAAUAGUACAAAACUUGCGCAGUCUUGUAUGACGUGUUUUAAAACGAUAAACUUUACAAUAUUUUAUGUAAAUUGAAGUGCAAAACUAUAUUUAUUCUCAAUAGAUUCUAAUUUGGAAUUGAUAAAUGUGUCUUAGAUAUUCUGGUGAUUGUAUUAAUGUGUUUCAGGCUAUAAUAAUGUCACAAUUUUGCAUUUAUUGGAGAAAUGUCACAAUCUAGAAAGUGUAAUUGUUUUUAUAAGUUAUGAUGUGCCCCCCCCCCCAGAAGGUGUCUUCUUAUAUGCUUUUUGUUCUUUUUCAUAAUUUGCAGAAACUAAUUUUUGUCAUAUAGUUUUUUCUUCUUUUUCUUUAAGCAGUAAACUUUAGAAAUAUAAUUUUGUAAUACCGAUUAUGUAGCUCGUAAGAGAUCACGUUAUGCGUGUUUUAACAGGAAGUUUUCUCGACACGUUGAAUGUGAGUGCAUUAGAUAAACACUAAAUUUGUAAAUGUUUUGUUUUAAAUUGUGAAGUAUUGUGGGAUAUAUUUUGUGUAUGAUGUUGUUUAUUACAAGAAGGGUUUUAAUGCAGCGUGUAUUAUUAUUAUUAUAUAUAUCUGUGAUAGUACCUUCCAUUAUAUAACCAAAAUAGUGUAAUUUAAACAAAAAAGGAAUUGUUUUGAUUGCAGUUUCAACUCGCCUGUUUAGCUAUUUCGUUUCAUGUGUUAAUGUAGGAAUUAUUAUACAAACAGUAAGUACUUCUUCAUGUCUGUACAGCUUUGCUUUGUCAUGAUUAGAUACAUCAAUCAGAUCUUUUAAACAUUAAUAAAAACCAAUGAAUGAAAACUUUGUUGUUUCUCUAUCUUGGUGUUUUGUUGAUUGUUCCUCAAAUCUUCAAUACAACAAAUUAUGUACGAAGAUCAGCCAUGGAACGCUAUUUCAUUUAGGAACUUAUUUUCUGAUAAAAUAGUUGUUGGCGUUAUCUUUCUUUAGUACAGUAAACAUACUGAUGAGAAAGGAUAAUUUUAUGCCUGUUUUUGACUUAAAAGAGACUAGGAGAUUGUAAUUGGGCAUGUCUCUGUUUCCUAGGGCAGUCCUCACUCAAAUAUACCCUAUAAUGAAUAAAAAAAAAAGCUAAGAUUAAAAUAUUUUUUCAGUUAUUUGUAUAUUCUAAAAAUGUGUAACAAGUUACAAAAUUGAUUGUCAUUGGUGCACAUAGGUUUUAGCCAAGUGCUUACUUGUGAAAGUUACAAAAUUGACUUGUCAUUGGUGCACAUUAGGUUUUAGCCAAGUGCUUACUUGUGAAUCAAAUUAUAAUUUGUUAUCAAACAUUUAGAUAAAACUUCUUAUUCUAUGUAGCUUUAGAUUAUUUACUUGAAUGCAGAGUUAGCUUACAAUAAGCUAUUUAUCAUAUUACAGUUCAGGUUUUUCAUGUCAAACUUAUUCUAUGUAGCUUUAGGUUAAUUACUUCAAUGCACAGUUAGCUUACGUUAAGCUAUUUAUCAUAUUACAGUUCAGGUUUUUCAUGUCAAACUUCUUAUUCUAUGUAGCUUUAGAUUAAUUACUUGAAUGCGCAGUUAGCUUACAAUAAGCUAUUUAUCAUAUUACAGUUCAGGUUUUUCAUGUCAAACUUCUUAUUCUUUCCAACAACAUUACCAUACAUCUUAGCAAUGUAUUAUUAAUAUCAAAUAAUUAGAAUUGUGCAACUUCGGAGUUGGUUAAAUGUUUCUUUACUCACGUGUUAUCAGUGGUAAUCGUUUCAGCCAGCUUAUUUUUUCUUUUCCUUGUAGGUUACAAAAUCUGUGUUCGUUAAGUUGUAUGAAAUUAAACAUCAUUUAAACUUUUUUAAAAUCGUUUGAUAGUCAAUGUACCUACCUACCUUUUCAUUUAACCAUUUUUUGUUAUUUUGAACGAUAGUUAACAAGUAGCUGUGACUGGAGAGUGAUGAGUUGUUUAUAACUUUUAUGUCAUACAUGUUUAUUUUUAGGUUAUUUCGUGCAUCAGACAGCAUCGCCACAAAACAACAGUGUAAUCGGCUCUGGACUGGUGUGUCCUAUAUGUAAGAAGAGAUAUUCAAGCAAGUCUAACUUGAUCCAACACAUGGGAAUUCAUAGACCUCAGAGGAAGAAAUUUUACUGUGACAUCUGUUUCAAAACCUUCUUAUGGUCCAAUAGUAGAAAUGCUCACAAAAGGAACGUUCAUCGAGUGUUUUGAUGAUGGUCUUAGAUCCGGCAGACUUGGUCGCCCUCGUCGCUCAGAACAGACCAUUUUCAGACGAGAUUUAGUAUGCCCGAUUUGUGGGUUAGACUACGCCCAAAAAAGUAGUCUGCUCAACCACAUGAACAUUCAUCGACCACAGAGAAAGAAAUAUUAUUGUGAUGUAUGCAACAAAUCAUUUCUUUGGCCGAACAGUCGAAACCUCCACAAAAGAACUGUGCAUGGUUAUAAAUUCUAAUAGAUGUUAAAUCUACAGAAUGAUUGUUGGUAAUUUUACAUUAUUAGUUAGUUAGAGCUACAAAAAGAGUGUCCAGGAUCGUGUGUUCUUAGUAUUGUUAAAUCUACAAAAGGAUUGUCCCUGGUUCUGCAUUCCUAGUAGUAUUUCAUCUACAAAAAACUGUGCUUUUUUAUAAUUAAAUCCUAAGAGUUGUUAAUCCACCCAAAAUCUAUGCUUGGUUCUGAAUUUUUAAUAUUGUUAGAUCUACAAAAGAACUGUGCAUGAUUCCACAUUCCCAACAUUGUUAUAUCCAUAAUAAAACUAUUCAUGGGUCUACAUUCUUAGUAUUGUUAGUUAUACAAAAGAACUGUGCAUGGAUCUGCAUUCUUAAUAUUGUUAGAUCUACAUAAGAAUGGUUCAUCAAUUUCCAUUCAUAAUAUUUGUUUUAGAUCUACAAAAGAACUGUUCACAGUUCUACAUUUUUAGUAUUGUUAGAUCCAAUAAAGAACUGAGCAUGUAUCUCCAUUCUUAAUAUGGUUAGAUCCAAAAAAAUCUAACUGUUCAUGGUUCUACUUUCUUGGUAAUCUUAAGAAUCAUAACACUACAGUGCUUGGUCCUACAUUCACACAGUUUUGUUAAAUCCACAGAAGAAGUGCUUUAAAGAACACUGCUUGUUUCUGAACUGUGUAUAGUUCUAUAUUCAUGGGUUUGUUAGACCUACUAAAAAAAAAGUGCUUGAUUCUGUUUUUUAAAUAAAAAAGAUGUGCAUGGCUCUACGUUCAUAGUUUUUUAGUUUCACGAAAUCCCAGUAUUUGAGUCUGUAUUUCAGUUGGAUCCACUUAAGAGCCACACAUUAUUUAACUUUAUUAUUUAAAUAAACAGUUAGGUGAGUUUAUACAUUUCAAGCAUUGUUAAAUCCACAAAAAUGUAUAUUAUGCUUUUACAUUUUAAGCAUCCUUUGAUUCUAACAAGUUUUAUACCAAUAUUUGGGCCAGGUUAACUACUUAAGGCACUGAUUUAAAUCUACUUAUUGUACUGGAAGUACUUAUAUCUGUGUUGAUUUAUUGUUCAGUGAUUUAUCAUCACAAUUCAGUACUUUGAUUAGUUUAUACCUCCUUUAGUAACCAAAUAUUAAGUUGCUUCAGUUCUUAAUAAUGAAUAAGAUGCUUGUAUUUAUAGUAUCAAUUAAAAGACAAACAAGUACCCAAUACUGGGCUAUAUGGGUACUUCAAAUAUUUUUUUCAUACCUCAGUGCCAUUACAUAAUGUUGAAGUAUAGUUUAUAUGCAAGGUAAUAAUCUUGGGAAUUUGGGUGCUAGUGUUACCAUACUAUUUUAUGGUACACUUUCUAAUCAACUACAUGUGAUUUUAUAAAGAUAGUGUGAUGCAUUAUCAUGAUAUUGAAUGAGUGAUAGGAAUUUUGUAUCCUUCCAAUGUUCUGACACUGCGUUGUACUUCAUAUUGUCAAUAAAGUCCUUAAGAAUCUGCAUUAACUGUUCAAAACAAUUA